UUGAGCGGAGAUAUAUGGAGCUUGCUUUAUAUAACUUAGCAGCGAACGGGUGAGUAACACGUAGAUAAUCUAUCCUAUACUGGGGGAUAGCCCGAUGAAAGUUGGAUUAAUACCGCAUAUAGCUAUAUAGUUGCAUGAUUAUGUAGUGAAAGAUUUAUCGGUAUAGGAGGAGUCUGCGGCACAUUAGCUAGUAGGUGAGCUAAAGGCUUACCUAGGCGACGAUGUGUAGCCGGUCUGAGAGGAUGAACGGCCACAAUGGAACUGAGACACGGUCCAUACUCCUACGGGAGGCAGCAGUGGGGAAUAUUGCACAAUGGGGGAAACCCUGAUGCAGCAACGCCGCGUGAGUGAAGAAGGUUUUCGGAUUGUAAAGCUCUGUUAGCAGGGAAGAGGAAGGACGGUACCUGCAGAGGAAGCCACGGCUAACUACGUGCCAGCAGCCGCGGUAAUACGUAGGUGGCAAGCGUUGUUCGGAAUAACUGGGCGUAAAGGAUGCGUAGGCGGUUAAACAAGUUAUAUGUUAAAUAUAUAGGCUUAACCUGUAGAAAGCAUAUAAAACUGUUUAACUAGAGUGCAGGAGAGGUAAGUGGAAUUCCUAGUGUAGCGGUGAAAUGCGUAGAGAUUAGGAAGAACACCAGUGGCGAAGGCGACUUACUGGACUGUAACUGACGCUGAGGCAUGAGAGCAUGGGGAGCAAACAGGAUUAGAUACCCUGGUAGUCCAUGCUGUAAACGAUGGGUACUAGGUGUGGGUUGUGAAU
rnacentral:rRNA from 1 species